rnacentral:lncRNA from 1 species
UUCUUGGUUACUUGUUAUAUUCCGUGUCUUGAACACGGAUCCUUCACUUGCUUCAUUCAGAGUUUCAUUCGCCUUUCCAUGUCCCCUAUCCUGUGCAAUUUCAGCAAGGAAACAUAGAGUAAGCAUACAAGCACAACAAAUGCAAAUUUUCAAGUCAAAGCAUACUGAAACGAAAGCUCUAUCAUCCGGUUACCUUCCGCUCCAUAAAACCGUACAGGCUCAGAUGAAAGGAAAUAACCGUGGACCAUCAAUUAUACAAUUUGGUGAUCGUUCAGAAGCAAACUAUCUCAUGGAACUAUUGUUAAAUAUCUGCAUCUAACAGAACCAAGCGCAAGGUUACAGACAUAAAACAACUAGUAGCACAGGACAAAGGUAGGAGGAAAGAAGCAGGUGAGAUUUCUGUCGCCAUCACAUUGUGGUCAUAGUGAUUGCCCAAAUGACCAGCAUACUCAAGUCAACAGAACCAAGUGCCAUGUUUUUCCUAUUGUAUCUGUAUGGACACAGACAAGACUCCAGCCCAAGACCAUGCACAUGCAAUUGCAUGCACCAGCAACAAUCUAUCUACCAUAAAGUGAACUCAAAUGCUAAGGGCAUAUCAGUCUUUUCCAUUUGAAUGAUUAUGUCUCUAGCAUGGUGUUGUUCCUCUAGGAAGCAGGGAUCAGCAAGCCAUUAUAUAUAGGAAGGUCUGUUCAGAUGACCAGCAACCCGGAGGACAGGAACGCUAAGGUGUGAAGGGGCAGGCAGAUCGUCUCGUCUCCCCCAUCCUGCCGGCAUUGAUCUGUCCUAUUCUUAUCAUCCAUCAAUGGGGAGGCCACCUUCUAGUGAUGAGAAUGGCCUCAAGAAGGGCCCCUGGACUAGUGAGGAAGACGAGAAGCUCAUGAGCUACAUCCAGAAGCAUGGCCAUGGAAGCUGGAGAGCCCUUCCUCAACUUGCAGGUACACAUACAUGAUGGAACUCUCUCUCUUUCUCUGCCUCACGCACAUUUCCUUCACCAAGAAUGUUUUUCACCAUACUUUUCGUGCAGGCCUGAACAGGUGUGGUAAGAGCUGCAGGCUAAGAUGGACCAACUACCUGAAGCCGGACAUCAAGAGAGGGAAGUUCUCCCAGGAGGAAGAGCAAACCAUCCUCCAGCUGCACACCGUCCUUGGCAACAAGUACUAACUGCACCUGCAUUCCAUUGCAUAAAUUCCACAUGAAAGGUUUUAGCUAAUAUGUAUGUAACCAUACCAGGUGGUCGGCUAUCGCAAAGCACCUCCCUGGACGGACAGACAACGAGAUCAAGAACUUCUGGAACACCCACCUCAGGAAGAAGCUCAUCAAGAUGGGCAUCGAUCCAAUGACCCACCGUCCGAGAACAGACUUCUUUGCUGCUCUCCCGCAGCUCAUCGCACUCGCCAACCUUCGCCAGUUCAUCAAUCAGCAGCCGUGGGAUGACCACACUGCCGGGCUGCAAGAGCAGACAGCCCAGGCUGCCAACCUCCAGUACAUGCAGUCACUGCUUCACUCUGCAGCCUCCAUUGCCGCCAGCCCCACCACCACCAGCAGCCUCAACAGUCUCAACAUGGACCUGGAGCAGAUAAACUUCCUGAGCCCUCCGCAGAUACUUUCUCCAAGUGCACUUGAGGGUAUUGGUGGCAUAGACUUAGCAGGGCAGAUGUCUCAGAACCAAAUGCCUACCUUCGACCACACAAUUGGCAACAUCAACACGGGUUCACAUAACAAUAUUGAAACCAGUGAGCGGCAUUGCAGUGAGGGAGAGAACAGUAGCCAGAAAAGGUCGUUUCUCUAUGAAAACUCCCUUCCACCUCUCACUGACAUGGCGAUAGCGGCCUCCAACAUUUGUGCUACCAUCAGCACCUCAAACUGCAACGGCGUCAGUAGUCCGUUUCCUAGUUGGUCGGAAAUCCUACUUGAUGAAGAGCUGCUGAAUGAGUUUGCAUGAUGUAACCUGAAUUCCCUAGCUUGAAUGGCAUACUAGCCUGUGGCUUGCAUUUUUGGAAUUUAGGCUUAUCGUUUACCACUUUUUUAUAUAGUUUCUUUAGAUUUUGUUAAUGCUUGCACUUGUAGACUCGGAAAGGAGUCCGUAGAUAAGCCUACAAGUAUGAGAUGUUUUUUUUCUGACAAGUAUGGUAUGUAUGUGUACAUAUAAUAUACAUGUAAGGUUGCUUUGGUUGUUCUUCCUUUCUCUCUGCCACUAUAUCUUAGUUCCUGGAGUAUUGUUUUGUCCUAGUUGCCCGAAAAUAGGUCGUUUUGAAUUUUGAUACAAAUGGCGCGAUGAUAUAGCUUGAGUGACAACACGCGUGAAGGAAAAAAUACCGCUCACUGCUACCACACCAGAGGUCAUCUAUCAUAUACCAGAAGUAACAUAAAGAAAAGCUUGCCUGAUUGCACUUUAGGCAGCUUCUAAAUGUUUUUCCUGAAGUAACUGUUUGGUGAUCUAGAAUGACUGAAGCCAUCUAGAUGCAAUUACAGAUAGUGUGAAAAAUAGAACUAAAAACACGAGCAUGCAGAAGAAGUUUGUUGAGUCAGGUAGCAAGAGGAUUGACUAAAUUCUGUCAUGUCAACCAACAGUGACUAAAAACUGGUAGGAAUUACAGGAAAAUCCCAAACAGCUAGCUGAAAAAACAUGCGGAAAUAUUUAAUUGUCAUAAACAUAAGCUUCUACUCCGUAUGAAGGAUUGCUAGCGUUUUUUUCUUCCUGUCAGGGUCAGCGUGUCCUUGCUUUAGAGCAGGUAAAAGUUUGCCCACUUUUCCUCCAAGAAAUUGACUCCGAAAACAUGUAUUAAAGAGGUAGCAACCUAACAUCAACAUCAACACUAAGAUGUGUGCUUAUAUGCUUCCCGAAAAUGCGAAAGUGCAAAUGUUAAAUCAUGGUGCAUAUCUUAAUUGCAACCACCAAUUACUCCACUUGCAAAAUACUUCUUUAAGAGUAUAACAGAUUCAUCGCUACUUUAAGAGAGGGCAUACUUAUUUAGAAGAGCAAAAGGUCAUAUGCAUUUACAUCACCGUAUGUUGGACAGAGCAAUACGUUCCAUGCGCCACUAAUAAAAAUGAAAAUUGAAGUCUAAUCAUAGGUUUCAACUACUACACCACACCUAGACUUGCGUGUUUGGUAGAACCGGGAAAGAAAAAUAGACAUGUCAUGACCAAUCUUAUCAGAUAAAUAGCUUCCACUGGUAAGGAGUAACUAGGCAGUCGGUCAGUCCAUAUGACACAGAGAUAAAUAGUUAUACAGUAACUUCUUAGUUAUGGUCAAAUAUAGAUAAUCACAACAGUUUUGCUGUUCCCUUGACACAUGCCAACUCUUACCCUCAUACUACUUUUGAAGUUGCAAGUAUACUCUUUAAGCUGGAGCAAAUAGAUAUAGUAUUUUUCUAACUUCUAUUUACGCGUCUGAAGUUUAACACGAUACAGAUAAGAGAUAACAAUAGCAUCUUCAAUUUUCAAGCAUAGAGCGGAUCAGUGGACAUGUCGAUUCAACGCUCUCUGCAACCGCCAAAGAAUCGUGUUACAGACUUCGGCUCAAGUUGUUUAGUCUGGCAUAUUUUAAGUUUCUCCAGGACACAAAGGUUAACCUAUGUGGAACAGAAAAUGGUGGGCACACAGAAACAUGAGGCAUUCUUCUCUUUCAACCUAAGGAGCUAGGAUGCUUACAUGAUACAUCAGCAAUGGUGGAAAGUGGAAGGACAAUCAAAUCACAGUGCACAUCACCUUGCAUUUCCUCCCUACCCAACCAACCAAUGCAACCAAAUUAAACUGUACACUUCCUCUCUACCCAAAUCAAUGGACGGAGGCACCAGUCAACUGAAUCGAGGUAACCUGGAGGUAAUUUUCGAGUGGAUUACAUCAAGAAAGCACCAGUUUUGGACAUAAACACAAUGUUCACGAGCUCAAUAAAUAAUAUGAUUUGCGGAAUCUAGAGGAGUGAUGAAGUAAUUAGAAAGCUCUCCCUCGCCGGUCGUUGACAAAAAGGACAUUGUGCCGUAUCGUACCAUUCAAUGCAUUCGGAGGGACUCGCCGGACUUGAACUCUUGGUACCGCCAUGGAUGGGGAGAGCUCGAGGUCCGCCGCCACCUCCACCUGCCCAGCCUCCGUCCGUAGGUUCCGCCGCCAACCUAACAAUCUUCGCCCUCCGGUGACCCCUACGAGUGGAGAGGAGGGGGGCCGGAGAGAGGAGGAGGCACGUAUAGGCUUGAGA